rnacentral:rRNA from 1 species
UACGUAGGGGGCAAGCGUUGUCCGGAUUUAUUGGGCGUAAAGAGCGUGUAGGCGGCCAGGUAGGUCCGCUGUGAAAACUCGAGGCUCAACCUCGAGAUGUCGGCGGAAACCAUCUGGCUAGAGUCCGGAAGAGGAGAGUGGAAUUCCUGGUGUAGCGGUGAAAUGCGCAGAUAUCGGGAAGAACACCCGUGGCGAAGGCGGCUCUCUGGGACGGUACUGACGCUGAGACGCGAAAGCGUGGGGAGCGAACAGG